rnacentral:lncRNA from 1 species
UGGCUUGGGAAUUUCCGGCAUUUUGACUUCCUCUGGCUUCGGAAUCUCCGGCAACUCAGGCUUCUGAACCUCCGGUAACUUAGGCAACUCAGGUUUUGGAAUCUCCGGAAUCUUAGGCAACUCAGGCUUCGGAAAUUCCGGUAACUUUGGCAUCUCUAGUUUAGGUAGCUCCGGCAAUGUCGGUAUUUCUGGUUUAGGAUCCUCCAAUAACCGGCGAGCUCCGACUGAUACUGGAACAGAGAGCAAUGCAAUAAUACAUAUGAUCAGAAAUGGUGAAAGAAGAGAAGCAGAGAGAAUCUUCUUCAAUGCCAUUGUUUCCUUGAAAAUCUUUUUAUCUUUCUUUCUUUCUUUGCUUUGUGGUGUUCUUCUUUGUUUUUGUGAUGAGCUUGAUCUUUGAUUGAAAUGGCUAUUUAAAGGUGUCUUCAGGAAGAAGAGAGAUGGAUUUUGGUGAGAAAAACAUGUACAGAGUUUUGAAUAGAAAAGGUUCGUUUAACUUCUCUAUCUGUAUAUCUAUUUUGUCACUUUCAAUCUAGCUGAAGUUUAGGUUUAACUGUUUAAGUGUUAACGUGUUCAUUUGUUUGGUUCAUACGUAUUAUAUAUAUAAUCCUCGUAUGAAAGCACGUUAUUAAAGGUUUAGACUUUUUAAAACUUUUAUAUUUGUUUUUGGUUAAUCUUAAACUGAAAAGUAAACCUUACAGAGGGAAAUACAGAGUAUUACAGAGCAUAACACUCACGCUCUGUUUGUUUCCUCUUAUUUGUUUCUGUGAGAGAAUCUGAUGAGUUUAAUUAAAGUGAAGAAUCAACUCAUUGUCUGAGUCGAUAAGGAAGAUCUCUGCUGCUUAUAAUGUGCACGAAAGAGCUAACUAAGGCUUUGGAAGAAUCAGAUAUGAAGUUGAUGAUCCGAUUCUCCAAAGUAUAUUAACCACAACACUGUCUUCUUUCAUGUUAGUUAGUAUAUAUGAGAGCUAAACAAAGAACUCCUUCUCUCUCCUAAUUUAGACUGACGUCGAAAGUUUCAGAACAGCACAAUUUUGAACAACAUCGAGUUUAUUUACACAUGAGUUCCAUAAUUUGAAUUGUCCAUUUCUAUAGUGCAAAUCCAUCAAUAUCUUUUAACAACUAGUAACAGUAGUGUCUACAUUUUUGUACAUGUCUUCUUUACUUUCUUAUGUUUUGGACAUGGGAUAUGUGACAAAGAAUGAGGACAUUGGAUAUUACUUUAAAAUCUUUUUUCUUCUCUGCAAUAUGCAUAGUAGAUAUACAUCGUUUUAUUGAUUUUCUUGAACAUAUGAACUGAGAUAAUUGAGUAAUUAGUGUUCAUUGUGUAGCCUUUUGAACCGAAACAUGUCUUUAACUCUUAAAUAGAUAACUUAAUCAAUUAAAAAGUAUAUAUAUCGAAUACAACGAAAUGUGUAUGAAAACACACAAUACAAAUAUAACAGAAUACAAGUAUAAGUGUAUAACCUUAACCCAAAGAACAAGAAAUAUGACUAUGAGACCAAAACCAUAAGACAUGGUUUCACUAAGGAAACGAUGAUGUAGACAAAUAGUGUAAGGGUAAAAUGGUACUUUAAGAUCGUGUGAUGGGCUUCAAAGUAGUUGGGCCUUCUUCUGGUUCAAUAACGCUUAAGGAGUUCCGGGAACUUUUGGGAAUUCCGGCAACUUGGGAAGUUCCGGCAUCUUCGGUAGCUCUGGCUUUGGAAUCUCUGGAACUGCAGGUUUUGGAAUUUCUGGAAUCUUGGGAAGUUCAGGCUUCUGAAUCUCCGGCACUUUUGGCAAUUCCGGCUUUGGAAUCUCCGGCAACUUAGGAGCCUCAGGCUUUGGAACCUCCGGAACCGUUGGCAAUUCAGGUUUUGGAACCUCUGGCACUUUCGGCAACUCAGGCUUCUGAAUCUCCGGCAUCUUUGGUAACUCCGGCUUCUGAAUUUCCGGCAUCUUUGGCAACUCGGGCUUCUGAAUCUCCGGUACCUUAGGUAACUCCGGCUUCUGAAUCUCCGGAAUUUUAGGCAACUCAGGUUUUGGAAUAUCUGGUAACUUAGGAGCCUCAAGCUUGGGAACUUCCGGCAUCUUUGGCAACUCAGGCUUUGGAAUCUCCGGAACCUUAGGAGCCUCAGGCUUUUCAGUCUCCAUUAGCUUAGGCACCUCAGGCUUUGAAUUUUCCGGAAACUUUGGCAAUUCAGGCUUCUGAAUCUCUGGAAACUUGGGCAAUUCAGGCUUUGGGAUCUCUGGAAACUUCGGCAACUCUGGCUUCGGAAUCUCCGGUACCUUUGGUAACUCCGGCUUCUGAAUCUCCGGGACCUUUGGU